CCUACGGGAGGCAGCAGUGGGGAAUAUUGGGCAAUGGGCGCAAGCCUGACCCAGCAACGCCGCGUGAAGGAAGAAGGCUUUCUGGUUGUAAACUUCUUUUAUCAGGGGCGAAGCAAGUGACGGUACCUGCUGAAUAAGCCACGGCUAACUACGUGCCAGCAGCCGCGGUAAUACGUAGGUGGCAAGCGUUAUCCGGAUUUACUGGGUGUAACGGGCGUGUAGGCGGGAGUGCAAGUCAGAUGUGAAAACUAUGGGCUCAACCCAUAGCCUGCAUUUGAAACUGUACUUCUUGAGUGCUGGAGAGGCAAUCGGAAUUCCGGGUGUAGCGGUGAAAUGCGUAGAUAUACGGAGGAACACCAGUGGCGAAGGCAGAUUGCUGGACAGUAACUGACGCUGAGGCGCGAAAGCGUGGGGAGCAAACAGGAUUAGAUACCCCAGUAGUC
rnacentral:rRNA from 1 species